UUAAAACUUAUGUGAUAUAGUAUAUGUAUUAUUUUUUUUUUCUAAAAACUCUGCAUGUACAAAAACAUCUUAAGCAAUCUUUUUACUUGAAAAGUUAAAAGAUUUUGUUCCUCUUUUCACUUCUUCAUUACCGAUAAAACAAUACACUCUCUCUCAAAUCAAUUGUCCCACCCAACACAACCUUCCAUUGAAAUUCUGGCCUAACAUGACCAUCACCACCAUCGCAUCACAGCCAUCACCACAUCCCCCUGCUAUCUUGGUGUCCUACUCUUUUUGAAAGUAUAGAUCUGACCAGAUUAAAAGGGAUUAAAAGGCUAGAUCGAACAAAUCUGAAAAAACGGUAUUCAUCAUCCAUCACUGCAGCCACGUCGACCCAACCAUCUCUCUUCUGCUUCUCUGUCAUUGUCUCCACCGCUGCAACGCAACCGCCGUACAAAGACGUUGGUGCUUUGUGGCGCCGUAACCGUCUAAAUUCUUCCGACCGGGAUUUUUUUUGGUGAUGGCGGUGGGGUUAUAUAGGGUGUGAAACGGUGGCAAACGACGGGAAACGGUAGGAGACGCGUCGUUCUGUGUUAUUUUUUUAACGAUGCGCGUUGCUUUGGUCAUCAACUGCAAAGUUGCAACGGUUUGGUUGUUCAUUCAUUUUUUGAAAGGUUAUGUCAGUUUUUGUGGAUUUGGAUAUAAAAUCUGAUUUGUAUUGUGUUGUACGGCGCAUCGGGUUGGAUGUAAAGCAAAGCUUCUUUUGAAUGAAUCGGUGCCUUUCGUUGAUCAAGAGAUGCGACGGUGUGUCAAAAGCAAUUAUUCCGAAGAGUAACGUUUAUGUAAAGGAUGUUGGUAAAUGAGUCGGUGCCUAUUAUUUAAUGAAUGGUUGCUUUUUGAGUGAAGUGAUGCCAUGUGUAUAAAUGGCAACCGCACUUGCUAAUCGUUGCCUUUUGUUUAAUUAACAAAGCGAUGUGUCUUAAGUUAUGAAACG
rnacentral:lncRNA from 1 species